CUCCUUUCCUUAGAUGGAAUUAUUACCAUGCAACCUUGUUUUCUGUCCCUCCUUUGAGAAUCCUCCCCUGUUGCAUGCCCUUCUGCUUUAGGGGUCAUCAACAGGCUCACCUUUCAAAGGAGCGGUGGGGUUUCUCCGGCACAGACCCACGAUUAUUCUGGUCGGAAACUCCUAAAAAUGGGGUCCUCUGACGAUCAGAAUUCGCCAUCGGAUACCCCACCAUCUGACUCUUCAUCAUCAUCACCAACUCCUCCAUCUUCGUCGUCCUCAUCCUCAUCCUCAUCACCCUCUCCACCAUCAUCGAAUUCAGGUUCGGGUUCAAGCUCAGGUUCGAGUGGGGGUUCAGGUUCAGGUUCGAGUGGAGGUUCAAGUUCAAGUGGAGGCUCACCGCCCUCAUCAUCAUCCCCACCUCCAAAGGACUCAUCACCUCCUAAAAGCGACUCAUCCUCCUCAAACAACUCAAACGGCGGCUCGUCAUCUUCAGGAAACUCAAACAGCUCAUCCCCGCCUUCCGACAAGUCUUCCGGCGGUAACUCUUCCAAUAACUCUAACAACUCCGGUGGCUCCUCCUCCUCCUCCAACAAUUCGAAUAACUCAAACAACAACUCGAACAAUUCGAAUAACUCAUCGCCUCCUAGCAACAACAACUCGAACAACUCACCGCCUUCCAACGACAACAACUCCGACAAUUCGAACAACAACAACUCCAACAAUUCAAACAACAACUCAAAUGACUCAAACAACCAAAACCAAAAGUCCCCUCCACAGUCCAAUUCUCAAAAGAGUCCUCCAUCGUCCUCCUCUAACAAUAACAAUAAUGGAGGGAAUCAGAACAAUAAUAACAAUAAUGGAGGGAAUCAGAACAACAACAACAACGGCAACGGCAACAACCACCAAAACAACCAAAACAACCAAAACAACCAAAACAAUCAAAACAACAACAACAACCAUAAUAAUAACAACAAUAACUCUCAGUCGCCACCUAAAUCAUCCAAUGGGAACAAUUGGUCACCAAAAUCGUCCAAUAAUUGGUCACCCCCAGCCAUAUCAGGCAAGUCCCAUCCAUCACCUGAUAAUGAUGGGUCACCGCCGCCUUCGCACUCGAGUUCGAGCUCCACGCCCAUCAUCAUAGGAGUUGUAGCUGCGGCAGGGGUUUUGUUGCUUGUCAUGGUGUUCUUCUUCAUGGCGUGCUCUAAGAGGAGGAAGAAGAGACAAACUUCUUCUCACCUUAUGGAGAACCCUGAGCCAUAUCUUCCAAAUGGAAGUAACUAUUGGCAAAGCACUGGACCUAAAAGUACCGAGCACAUUAUGAACAUGCCUCCUUCUGGCCGCGCACCCAAUGGAGGUUGGACUACAUCCACAGCUCCACCGCCCCCCAUGAUGAGCAGCGAAAUGAGUUCCUCCAACUUCUCCGGUCCACAUGGUCCCCCCUUGCCGCCACCACACCCUAAUGUGGCUCUCGGGUUCAACAAGAGCACUUUCACCUAUGAUGAGAUGGCGGCUGCAACAUCAGGGUUUGCGCCAGCUAAGCUAAUAGGCCAAGGUGGUUUCGGGUACGUACACAAAGGGGUGUUGCCAAACGGCAAGGAAAUCGCUGUGAAGAGCCUCAAAGCGGGUAGCGGACAAGGCGACCGUGAAUUUGCAGCCGAGGUUGAGAUCAUUAGUCGUGUUCAUCAUCGCCACCUUGUGUCGCUUGUGGGGUACUGCCUUGAAGGAGAACGAAAGCUGUUGGUGUAUGAAUUUGUUCCUAACAACAAUCUCGAAUUCCACCUUCACGGACCAAAUCGGCCACCCUUGGAAUGGGGUCACAGGGCCAAAAUUGCGUUGGGAUCGGCUAAAGGGCUUGCUUACUUGCACGAAGACUGUCACCCCAAGAUUAUCCACCGCGACAUUAAGGCUGCAAAUAUUCUGAUUGACUUUAGCUUCGAAGCUAAGGUGGCAGAUUUUGGGCUGGCAAAGCUGAACCAGGAAAAUGUCACCCAUGUAUCUACCCGUGUCAUGGGAACAUUUGGGUACUUGGCUCCUGAGUACGCAUCGAGUGGAAAGCUAACUGAGAAGUCCGACGUUUUCUCUUUCGGUAUUAUGCUCUUGGAGCUCAUCUGUGGACGCCGCCCUGUGGACUUGUCUGGAGAAUAUGAGGAGGAUACCUUAGUAGACUGGGCUAGGCCUCGCUGCCUGAAAGCAAUAGAUACUGGGGACUAUUCUGAAGUGUUGGAUCCACGGCUAGAGAACAAUUAUAACCAUGAAGAAGUGGCACGAAUGGUGGCAUGUGCUGCUGCGAGCGUUCGACACUCUGCGAAGAAGCGACCAAGAAUGAGCCAGAUUGUUCGUGCAUUGGAAGGCGAUGUCUCAAUGGAAGACUUGCACGAGGGGAUCAAAGGGCAGUUUGGCUCUGGCUCUACCAGCAUUGCUUCAUCUGAGUUUGAUGCUGACUCGUACAAUGCGAAAAUGAAGCCGUUCAGAAAGCCGGCACUGAUUGACAGCACAGACUAUCCAAGCAGUGAAUACGGGCCCACAAGCGAGUACAGCCACAACUCCACCUCUGCAAGCAGCAAUCACUCCCAAGAGAUGGACAACAAGAAAGGGAUGAACCGGCCACAAGGUCCAGUUUGAUCCGCAAACAACGAGCUGGAACAUGGACCGAACCGAUCGAACAAGAUAACCCAGAACUGGUUUUAUGACCUUCGGAGUACUAUAUUAUAGAAACAUAAAGAUUCUGCAGGUAGGUAAAGAUGGUGGUAGAUGCACAAUUGUGACAUUCCAUUAAACAUGGGGCACACCAAAUGAUGGAGGAGUUGUGAUUUUCUUUUUCUUUUUUCUUUCUUACGUUCUUUUGGAAAAUGGGUGAACCUAGCUAUGUGUGUUUGUAUGUACUUGCUACUAAUGUAAAACAAACACAUGCAUUUGGAGGAAUUGGUAGCUCGUGUGUUUGUAUUUUCUAUAUUUUAUAUCUAAGUAUUAUUGUUAAGAAUUGGUGAGAGUUGAGAAUGGACGGAAAUUUUGGCUAGAGUA